UACGUAGGUGGCAAGCGUUAGCCGGAAUUAUUGGGCGUAAAGCGCGCGCAGGCGGUUUCUUAAGUCUGAUGUGAAAGCCCACGGCUCAACCGUGGAGGGUCAUUGGAAACUGGGGAACUUGAGUGCAGAAGAGAAAAGCGGAAUUCCACGUGUAGCGGUGAGAUGCGUAGAGAUGUGGAGGAACACCAGUGGCGAAGGCGGCUUUUUGGUCUGUAACUGACGCUGAGGCGCGAAAGCGUGGGGAGCAAACAGG
rnacentral:rRNA from 1 species